rnacentral:rRNA from 1 species
GAUGAACGCUGGCGGUCUGCUUAACACAUGCAAGUCGAACGGGCUCUUCGGAGCUAGUGGCGGACGGGUGAGUAACGCGUGAGAAUCUGCCUUCAGGAGGGGGAUAACGACUGGAAACGGUCGCUAUAUCCCAUAUGCCUCCGGGUGAAAAGUAAUUCGCCUGAAGAUGAGCUCGCGUCAGAUUAGCUAGUUGGUGGGGUAAGAGCCUACCAAGGCGACGAUCUGUAGCUGGUCUGAGAGGAUGAUCAGGCACACUGGGACUGAGACACGGGCCAGACUCCUACGGGAGGCAGCAGUGGGGAAUUUUCCGCAAUGGGCGCAAGCCUGACGGAGCCAGACCGCGUGGGGGAUGACGGGCUAAUGGUUGUAAACCGGUUUUCUCUGGGAAGAAGACUGACGGUACCAGAGGAAUCAGGCUCGGGUAACUCCGUGCCAGCAGCCGCGGUAAUACGGAGGAGGCAAGCGUUAUCCGGAAUUAUUGGGCGUAAAGCGUCCGUAGGUGGUUAUUCAAGUCUGCUGUCAAAGCGUGGGG